rnacentral:rRNA from 1 species
AGGCUUUUGAUCCUGGCUCAGGAUGAACGCUAGCGGCAGGCUAAUACAUGCAAGUCGAGCGGUAGAGUGACUUCGGUUGCUUGAGAGCGGCGCACGGGUGAGUAACGCGUACACUACCUACCUUUAACACUGGGAUAGCCUUGGGAAACUGGGAGUAAUCCGCCAUGGUAUUGCUUGAUCGCCUGGUUGAGCAAUUAAAGCUUCGGCGGUACGAGAUGGGCGUGCGUCUGAUUAGGUAGUUGGUGAGGUAACGGCUCACCAAGCCGACGAUCAGUAAGGGGCGUGAGAGCGUGGCCCCUCACACGGGUACUGAGACACGGACCCGACUCCUGCGGGAGGCAGCAGUAAGGAAUAUUGGACAAUGGGCGGAAGCCUGAUCCAGCCAUCCCGCGUGCUUGAUGAAGGCGCUCAGCGUUGUAAAGAGCUUUAGUCUGGGAAGAAACCACCUUUUGCGGAAGGUGUUGACGGUACCAUGAAGAAUAAGCACCGGCUACCAC